ACACAAGAAAUAUAUAAAAGUAAAAACAGAAAUGAUCACCCAGACAAAUGCAUGAACCUCUGUGGAGAAAGGUAAAACACUAACAAGAUAAUUAAAUAAAGCAGAUCAAAUCAAAUGAGAAAGAAAAAACUAUAAAUUAAUAAAAUACAGUAAAUAUAAUUUAAAAUGUACAAAUAAAAUUCCUAAAUUUCAGCUUUAAGCAAAUCUUUAAAAAUACAAACAGUCUCUGUGUUCCAGAAUUUCAGAUUUUCACAUUUCCAGAUGAUAAAACAGAUUAUUCAAUCUGCUUUACCAAAAACAUCAAAAUAUUAGUGAAAAUAUGAAGCACCAAGAAAGAAAUAACCUUUUAGAUCUUCCCACUGAAUUUGACGAGCUCAUUUUAAAGUUAUUAUUAUUGAGGACAAAUAUAAAACUCCAGAAAUCAGCACGUUCUGGAGUUUUAUAUUCUGAAUCUGCAGUUCUAGCUUUCUGCCAUGGGGGGCGCUACCAUGAUGUAAGUUGGAGGAAAACAGCAGAAAAAAAGAGUUGCUGAAAGUUGCAUCACAAACUCCAAGUUUAAUCACAUUUUAAAGCAGCAACAGUUAAAGUUCAAUCACUGUCUGGACUCUUUUCCGUCCGAUUAUGUUUGACAAACGUUCUCACUCCUGAGCUCCUACUGUAAAAUAACAUCAAACCUCCAGUCUGGCUUUUCUGGGUCAACAAAUCUGACUUCUCUUCAGUCUAAUCAGAUUUCACUCUUACAGGACGUGAAUCUGCAUCUCAGAUCAUCAAAUGUUUUGAACCUUUGAGGCUAAUAUAAUCAAACACUCUUUUUUGACGACUUCAUCUGAUCUCUACAGAAAUGUAGAGUCAACUUUAUGUCUCCACGGAAACGACUGAAACAGGAGGAGGCUGACACAGUCGUGUGAGAAGACAUCUGUGCUGACAGUAAUAAAGACUCACUUCCACACGGGGGGAGAGUAAGCCGGAGCAUUCCGGAGCGGCGUUCCGGUAAAGGAAUUGGAGGCGGAAUGGCGCUCCAGCUGGAAGGAGAUCAGCUGUGCGUCCGGUUUUUGCUGCAUAACCAUGACAGAAGCUGCGGUCGCUGUUAUGAAAUAUAAAACAAUAAAAAUGGACACUAG